AGAGUGAACGCUGGCGGUAGGCCUAACACAUGCAAGUCGAACGGCAGCACGGUAAGAGCUUGCUCUUAUGGGUGGCGAGUGGCGGACGGGUGAGGAAUACAUCGGAAUCUACCUUUUGGUGGGGGAUAACGUAGGGAAACUUACGCUAAUACCGCAUACGCCCUUCGGGGGAAAGCCGGGGACCAGCAAUGGCCUGGCGCUGAUAGAUGAGCCGAUGUCGGAUUAGCUAGUUGGUGAGGUAAUGGCUCACCAAGGCGACGAUCCGUAGCUGGUCUGAGAGGAUGAUCAGCCACACUGGAACUGAGACACGGUCCAAGACUCCUACGGGAGCAGCAGUGGGGAAUAGUUGGACAAGUGGGGACGAAAGCC
rnacentral:rRNA from 1 species